rnacentral:rRNA from 1 species
GACGAACGCUGGCGGCGUGCUUAACACAUGCAAGUCGAACGGAAAGGCCCUGCUUUUGUGGGGUGCUCGAGUGGCGAACGGGUGAGUAACACGUGAGUAACCUCCCCUUUACUUUGGGAUAACUUCAGGAAACUGGGGCUAAUACCGGAUAUGAGCUCCUGCUGCAUAGGGUGGGUUGGAAAGUUUCGGCGGUUGGGGAUGGACUCGCGGCUUAUCAGCUUGUUGGUGGGGUAGUGGCUUACCAAGGCAUUGACGGGUAGCCGGCCUGCGAGGGUGACCGGCCACAUUGGGACUGAGAUACGGCCCAGAGUGAUACGGGAGGCAGCAGUGGGGAAUAUAGCACGAUGGGCGGAAGCCUGAUGCAGCAAUGCCGCGUCCGGGAUGACGGCCUUCGGGUUGUAAACCGCUUUAGCCUGUGACGCAGAGUGAGUGACGGUAAUGGGUCAAGAAGCACCGGCUAACUACGUG